rnacentral:rRNA from 1 species
GACAACAUUUGGAAACGAAUGCUAAUACCGCAUAACAACUUUAAACACAAGUUUUAAGUUUGAAAGAUGCAAUUGCAUCACUCAAAGAUGAUCCCGCGUUGUAUUAGCUAGUUGGUGAGGUAAAGGCUCACCAAGGCGAUGAUACAUAGCCGACCUGAGAGGGUGAUCGGCCACAUUGGGACUGAGACACGGCCCAAACUCCUACGGGAGGCAGCAGUAGGGAAUCUUCGGCAAUGGACGAAAGUCUGACCGAGCAACGCCGCGUGAGUGAAGAAGGUUUUCGGAUCGUAAAACUCUGUUGGUAGAGAAGAACGUUGGUGAGAGUGGAAAGCUCAUCAAGUGACGGUAACUACCCAGAAAGGGACGGCUAACUACGUGCCAGCAGCCGCGGUAAUACGUAGGUCCCGAGCGUUGUCCGGAUUUAUUGGGCGUAAAGCGAGCGCAGGUGGUUUAUUAAGUCUGGUGUAAAAGGCAGUGGCUCAACCAUUGUAUGCAUUGGAAACUGGUAGACUUGAGUGCAGGAGAGGAGAGUGGAAUUCCAUGUGUAGCGGUGAAAUGCGUAGAUAUAUGGAGGAACACCGGUGGCGAAAGCGGCUCUCUGGCCUGUAACUGACACUGAGGCUCGAAAGCGUGGGGAGCAAACAGGAUUAGAUACCCUGGUAGUCCACGCCGUAAACGAUGAGUGCUAGAUGUAGGGAGCUAUAAGUUC